rnacentral:rRNA from 1 species
AUUGAACGCUGGCGGCAGGCCUAACACAUGCAAGUCGAACGAGUGGCGGACGGGUGAGUAAUGUCUGGGACACUGCCUGAUGGAGGGGGAUAACUACUGGAAACGGUCGCUAAUACCGCAUACCAUCGGAUGUGCCCAGCUGGGAUUAGCUAGUAGGUGGGGUAAAGGCGCACCUAGGCGAAGAUCCCUCGCUGGUCUGAGAGGAUGACCCGCCACACUUGAACGGAGACACGGUCCAUAAUCCGAAGGGAGGCAGCAGUGGGGAAUAUUGCACAAUUGGCGCAAGCCUGAUGCAGCCAUGCCGCGUGUAGGAAGAAGGCCUUCGGGUUGUAAAGUACUUUCAGCGGGGAGGCGUUACCCGCAGAAGAAGCACCGGCUAACUCCGGGCCAGCAGGCGCGGUAAUUC